AUGAACGCUAGCGGCAGGCCUAAUACAUGCAAGUCGAACGGUAUAAGUUGUAGCAAUAUGACUUAGAGAGUGACGUAAGGGUGCGUAACACGUAUGCAAUCUACCCUCAACAGGAGUAUAGCUCGGGGAAACUCGGAUUAACACUCCAUAAUAUCAUUUGAAGGCAUCUUCAGAUGAUUAAAACUGUGGUGGUUGAGGAUGAGCAUGCGUCUGAUUAGUUAGUUGGAGGUGUAACGGACACCCAAGACGAUGAUCAGUAGGGGAACUGAGAGGUUGAUCCCCCACACUGGCACUGAGAUACGGGCCAGACUCCUACGGGAGGCAGCAGUAGGGAAUAUUGGUCAAUGGGUGAGAGCCUGAACCAGCCAUGCCGCGUGCAGGAAGACGGCCUUCUGGGUUGUAAACUGCUUUUAUCUGGGGAUAAAAAGCCCAUGCGUGGGACAUUGAAGGUACCAGAUGAAUAAGCACCGGCUAACUACGUGC
rnacentral:rRNA from 1 species